CCAAUAGCGUAUAUUAGAGUUGUUGCAGUUAAAAAGCUCGUAGUUGAAUUUCGGGGUUAGUAGGUUGGUCGUGCCACUGGUAUGUACUGGCUCUACUGAUCCCUCCUUCUUGUAGAACCGUAAUGCCAUUAACUUGGUGUUGCGGGGCAACAGGACUGUUACUUGGACAAAAUUAGAGUGUUUAAAGCAGGCUAACGCUUGAAAACAUUAGCAUGGAAUAAUGAAAUAGGACGCUCGAUCCUAUUUUGUUGGUUUCUAGGAUUGACGUAAUGAUUAAUAGGGAUAGUUGGGGGCAUUAGUAUUCAAUUGUCAGAGGUGAAAUUCUUGGAUUUAUUGAAGACUAACUACUGCGAAAGCAUUUGCCAAGGAUGUUUUCAUUAAUCAAGAACGAAAGUUAGGGGAUCGAAGACGAUCAGAUACCGUCGUAGUCUUAACCAUAAACUAUGCCGACUAGGGAUCGGAUGAUGUUAAUUUUUUAAUGACUCAUUCGGCGCCUUACG
rnacentral:rRNA from 1 species